rnacentral:lncRNA from 1 species
GACCCUCCACCGCAGCUACCGAAAGGCAUGUCAGUAUUAGCUUGGGAGCAGAGCUUCAGACAUCAAGGACCGGCGCCGGCGGCGAACGGGCAUCGUCGGUUUCGACGCUGUCGAUAUCCACACGAUCAGCGUCGGCUUCAAUGGCCUCGUCUUCAACAAGGGUGAGCAAGGGCGACGCCACAUCCGAAGCGGAUUGGGGGCCCCGGCCGAAAUCCAGAUCCAGGUCCAGAUCCAGGUCCAAAUCCAAGUCACGGAUGGGCGCACCUUCCGGCGCAUCUGUGAUGAGUUCCCG